rnacentral:lncRNA from 1 species
GGCAUUUUGCCAGUAAAAGGAGAAAAACAUGAAGACUGGAAAAGAUUAGGAGCCUUAGCCAUCUGCUUCUGCUCUGGGGUCUUUGGGACCUUCUCCCAGAUGCAUUAAUUCAAGCAAAACAUAAUUUAAAAAAUCUGCAUACUGAAAUUUUUUACUAAUUGGAACAAAUUAGUAAAACAAAGACUUACCUGAGAGCUUGAACAGUGAAACACAUAAAAAGGAAUAAGGAAUACCUGGAAAUGGUAGCUCAGUAGAAGGGCCUCUAUCAGGUUACAGUUAAUAGGGAUACAGCUCAGUAUGUAUGUCGUUUUGAGAGGAUCACCACUAUGAGAAUAAGGACCAAAAAGCUAGCCUUAUAUGGCUUAAUAUGAUUUUAGGUUUUAUGUUUAAGGAUUUGAUUAAAAGUUAUUUGUGAUUACAGUACAUAAUAUUUAACCUGAGCAGUGCUGACUUGACUUCACUUUCCAUCACCAGUUCUGCUUAGAGAUAAAUGGACAUUUUUAAAGUGUCUAAAAUGUUCUGUUAAGGAGAUCAGUAGUACCCUUUACUUUGUCAUUUUGUUUCUUAAUAGUUUUGUUUUGGACAGAUGGGAAAAUGCUGAACAUUUUUGAAUAUGUCUCAAGCUCCAAACUGGAGAAAUCUGAUUUGUAAAGAUUUUG